GUCUCCAUGGAUUAUCAAAACAGCAAACUACAUGUGAACUUGAAGUUGGAACAAGGAGGAAAACCAUGGAUGAAAGGGAGAAAUUCCAAAACAGCUCUGUCCAGUAUGUUCCUUCUCAGAACCGAGAGGGAUUGAGUAUAUUUGCAUUUGAGAUGACUUAUAUUAAAGAGAAGUCUGGAACGAAGGAGGCAACUCCAUUUAUUUAUUUAUUCAUGCAUUCCUUCAUCCAUUCAUUCAGUGGAAAGAUUCACCAUGAACAGUUUAUUAUAUUCUACUUUAGAAAAAAUAUACAAAGAUGAUGGUUUGACAGAUUGAUGAUAGGAAACAGGUGACCCUUUCCAGACACAUGACAUCCACCUGCAGCAAAAUCCAAACUAAGGUGAUCCACAACGAAUGUAAUAAUGUUGGAAACCUUUUGGUUUAACCUCCAAACUUAUUUCUCCAAGAACUAAAACCCCAUCAAUGGGAUUCACUUAGAACAAAUUUGAAACAUAAUUUAGGCUUGGAUAAUCAUAAGGGAAAUUGUACAAGGAGACAGUCAUCUCAGUGUGAUAGAGACAAAGAAAUCAUUCUGCUAUGGCUUAUCCAGUGUUGAAAGUAAUUAUCCAAAACUCUGAAUGUAAUGAUUAUGUGAAAGCCUUAGGUCAAAAGUCAAACUUCAUCACAUGUUUUAGAAUUCACAGUGGAGACAAGCAUUAUGGAAGUAAUGAAUCUGAGAAAAGAGAUUAAUGAGAGCAUAACUCUUAUGCAAGAAAGAAAACUUUACCAGAGCAAGAGGCCCUACAAAUGCAGGCAAAGUGGGGAAGCCUAUAGCCAGAAAUCACAUCUCAUUAAGUGCCAUAAAAUUCAAACAUGGGAGAAACCUUAUGAAUGUCAUCAUGUGGGAAACUUUUGUUUUCAAAAAUAACACACGUCAUUGUACAUCAGAAAAUUCAUACUGCAAUAAGUCCUCACGGGUGUAAUCAACAUGGAGAAAUCUUUAGCUGUAAUUCAUCCCUCAUUACACACCACCAUGGAUUUCACACAGAAAAGAAACCCUAUGAAUGCAUUGAAUAUAGAGAAUCCUGCUUUGGUAACAUGCAUCUCACUGCACAU
rnacentral:lncRNA from 10 species